CAGAAUACGUUCCCGAGGAGUGGGGCCUAGCAAUAUGGCAGCGCACGUUCCAUAGGAAAUCCUGCAGAAUGCUGCUGCUGCUGAGCUCUGUUCCCAAGGAGGGCACAAUCCCUGUGCUCCCUGCCCCGCUCCAGCCUCGACCACUGCAGGGACAGAGCUUUCUCCACCCCAAAAUCCCAGCAGGAAAGCCACCCAGGAUUUUCAAAGAUGCUGCAGCACGAAUUUUGGCUGCUGGAAACUUUGGGAAAAGCUUUUAAGCCCUCGAGCAGCACGGUGUUAACAUUCCCAAAAAGCACCAUGGCAACCUCUCAGUGUUCUUGCCUUCGUGGUCAGCAAGCAGAAGUCUCCAAAGGGGAUCAGAUGAGGGUGACAAAAGCGAUCUGGACACUGCAGCUGCUUCCAAGGAUCCACAACCCAGCAGGGAUGUGGUGGACAGAAGGGCAAGCAGGAGAAGCUCAGCUCCCGAGAGAAGUCUCCAGACUGCUCCCUCUGGCUGCUCCAAGAAGCUGAACUUUCCCUGGAAGCUGUGCCUGGUGCUCCCAGGCCAUUACACACUUCUCACCUGGCUGCCCUGCUGGAAGCUUCACUUUUAGGAUGAAUUCUGCAAGAAAUGCUGUGAAGCAGCAGAAACGCUGAGGAUUGAGAAGGGUCCUCUCAGUGCACGAACUCAUUGGUGGAUAAAGUCACACUCACCUGGAUUCCAGCUCCUCCAGAACGGGACACGAGGUGUGCAAAGGAUCACAAAUUAAUCAGUGGACUUUGGUUUUGCUUUGGUGUGCUUGUAUCAUGUCUGAACAUGCAAAGAACUUGGUUUUCCACAAGGAACCCAGUAAAUGGCACCUCUGUAAAUCAGUGA